rnacentral:rRNA from 1 species
ACAGGCUUAACACAUGCAAGUCGAGGGGCAGCAUGGUCUUAGCUUGCUAAGGCUGAUGGCGACCGGCGCACGGGUGAGUAACACGUAUCCAACCUGCCGUCUACUCUUGGACAGCCUUCUGAAAGGAAGAUUAAUACAAGAUGGCAUCAUGAGUCCGCAUGUUCACAUGAUUAAAGGUAUUCCGGUAGACGAUGGGGAUGCGUUCCAUUAGAUAGUAGGCGGGGUAACGGCCCACCUAGUCUUCGAUGGAUAGGGGUUCUGAGAGGAAGGUCCCCCACAUUGGAACUGAGACACGGUCCAAACUCCUACGGGAGGCAGCAGUGAGGAAUAUUGGUCAAUGGGCGAGAGCCUGAACCAGCCAAGUAGCGUGAAGGAUGACUGCCCUAUGGGUUGUAAACUUCUUUUAUAAAGGAAUAAAGUCGGGUAUGCAUACCCGUUUGCAUGUACUUUAUGAAUAAGGAUCGGCUAACUCCGUGCCAGCAGCCGCGGUAAUACGGAGGAUCCGAGCGUUAUCCGGAUUUAUUGGGUUUAAAGGGAGCGUAGAUGGAUGUUUAAGUCAGUUGUGAAAGUUUGCGGCUCAACCGUAAAAUUGCAGUUGAUACUGGAUAUCUUGAGUGCAGUUGAGGCAGGCGGAAUUCGUGGUGUAGCGGUGAAAUGCUUAGAUAUCACGAAGAACUCCGAUUGCGAAGGCAGCCUGCUAAGCUGC